rnacentral:rRNA from 1 species
CGGCAGAAUCCUAGUGGCGAACGGGUGAGUAACGCGUAGGCAACCUGCCCUCCGGCCGGGGACAACACUCCGAAAGGGGUGCUAAUACCGGAUACGAAGUCUGUGCCGCAUGGUACGGAUUUGGAAGAUGGCCUCUACAUGUAAGCUAUCGCCGGGGGAUGGGCCUGCGUCCGAUUAGCUGGUUGGUGGGGUAACGGCCUACCAAGGCGACGAUCGGUAGCCGGUCUGAGAGGAUGAACGGCCACAUUGGGACUGAGACACGGCCCAGACUCCUACGGGAGGCAGCAGUGGGGAAUCUUCCGCAAUGGGCGCAAGCCUGACGGAGCAACGCCGCGUGAGUGAGGAAGUUCUUCGGAACGUAAAGCUCUGUUGUUCCUGACGAACCUCCCCUCUAUCAACAACGGAGGGGACUGACGGUAGGGAACGAGGAAGCCACGGCUAACUACGUGCCAGCAGCAGC